GGCGGCUCGAGUGGUGGCCACUAUUACUGGGCUUAAAGCGUUCGUAGCUGGUUUGUUAAGUCUCUGGGGAAAUCUGCCGGCUCAACCGGCAGGCGUUCCAGGGAUACUGGCAGACUAGGGACCGGGAGAGGUGAGGGGUACUCCAGGGGUAGGAGUGAAAUCCUGUAAUCCUUGGGGGACCACCUGUGGCGAAGGCGCCUCACCAGAACGGCUCCGACAGUGAGGGACGAAAGCUGGGGGAGCAAACCG
rnacentral:rRNA from 1 species